rnacentral:rRNA from 1 species
AACGAACGCUGGCGGCAUGCCUAACACAUGCAAGUCGAACGAGACCUUCGGGUCUAGUUGCGCACGGGUGCGUAACGCGUGGGAACCUGCACUUAGGUUCGGAAUAACUCCCCGAAAGGGGUGCUAAUACCGGAUAAUGUCUUCGGACCAAAGAUUUAUCGCCUUUGGAUGGGCCCGCGUUGGAUUAGCUAGUUGGUAGGGUAAAAGCCUACCAAGGCGACGAUCCAUAGCUGGUCUGAGAGGAUGAUCAGCCACACUGGGAAUGGGACACGGCCCAGACUCCUACGGGAGGCAGCAGUGGGGAAUAUUGGACGAUGGGCGAAAGCCUGAGCCAGCAAUGCCGCGUGAGUGAUGAAGGCCUUAGGGUUGUAAAGCUCUUUUAACCGGGAUGAUAAUGACAGUACCGGGAGAAUAAGCUCCGGCUAACUCCGUG